rnacentral:rRNA from 1 species
UGUGUAGGCGGGCGGGUAAGUCGGACGUGAAAACUCCAGGCUUAACUUGGAGCCUGCGUUCGAAACUACCUGUCUUGAGUACGGGAGAGGAAAGCGGAAUUCCUGGUGUAGCGGUGAAAUGCGUAGAUAUCAGGAGGAACACCGGUGGCGAAGGCGGCUUUCUAGCCCGAUACUGACGCUGAGACACGAAGGCUAGGGGAGCAAACA